UACGUAGGUGGCGAGCGUUGUCCGGAUUUACUGGGCGUAAAGAGCGUGUAGGCGGCUUUACAGGUCCGUUGUGAAAACUCGAGGCUCAACCUCGAGACGCCGGUGGAAACCGUAAAGCUAGAGUCCGGAAGAGGAGAGUGGAAUUCCUGGUGUAGCGGUGAAAUGCGCAGAUAUCAGGAAGAACACCCGUGGCGAAGGCGGCUCUCUGGGACGGUACUGACGCUGAGACGCGAAAGCGUGGGGAGCAAACAGG
rnacentral:rRNA from 1 species